ACCAGGGCUUCGGCCCUGGGGACAGCGGCGAACGGGUGAGUAACACGUGGGUAACCUGCCCUCGGCACCGGGAUAGCCCGGGGAAACUCGGAUUAAUACCGGACAGCCUCAUGAGCUCUCGGGCGAAUGAGAAAAGGUGGCUUCGGCUUCCGGCUGAGGAUGGGCCCGCGGCCGAUUAGCUUGUUGGUGAGGUAAUGGCUCACCAAGGCUCCGAUCGGUAGCUGGUCUGAGAGGACGAUCAGCCACACUGGGACUGAGACACGGCCCAGACUCCUACGGGAGGCAGCAGUGGGGAAUCUUGCGCAAUGGGCGAAAGCCUGACGCAGCGACGCCGCGUGCGGGAAGAAGGCCUUCGGG
rnacentral:rRNA from 1 species